GUUUCAAACAGAUUCAACGGAUUCAAUCGCAAUUUUCUAACCUUACUUUUUAUUUCUUGUUUAUUUGCAAAAAUUGUUGCAUUUGCCAAAAUGUGCUCCGGAAGUGGAAACUUAACAUUAAGCUUACAAGAGGCAGAUGUUGUUUAUGAUAUUGUUGUAUCCCAGGAGGAUUAUAAUCUCGCCACAACAGAUAUGAUUUUUGCCCAAGAAUUACUAAAUAACCAUAAGGAAACUUUGCAAAACACUGUAGUGGAAAAGUCACCAGAAGAAAGGUACCUUACACCCAGUACUUCUACAUAUAGUGAAGAUUCACAGUCAAGCGAAGCAUCUUGGUCUGAUGCCGAAACACUAUUGUUGAUAUCUUUAUAUCAUGAAAAUAAAGAUGCCUUUACGAAUGCAAAAAAACGGAAGCAUGUUUGGGA